UACGUAGGGUGCGAGCGUUGUCCGGAAUUAUUGGGCGUAAAGAGCUCGUAGGCGGUUUUGUCGCGUCUGCCGUGAAAGUCCGGGGCUCAACUCCGGAUCUGCGGUGGGUACGGGCAGACUAGAGUGAUGUAGGGGAGAGUGGAAUUCCUGGUGUAGCGGUGAAAUGCGCAGAUAUCAGGAAGAAUAUCCGUGGCGAAGGCGGGCUCUCUGGGACGGUACUGACGGCUGAGACGCGAAAGCGUGGGGAGCGAACAGG
rnacentral:rRNA from 1 species